rnacentral:tRNA from 1 species
AAGGAAGUGACAGAGCGGUUAUGUGGUUGGCUUGAAACCAAUAUAUGGGGGUUCGAUUCCUCCCUUCCUCG